UACGAAGGGGGCUAGCGUUGCUCGGAAUCACUGGGCGUAAAGGGCGCGUAGGCGGCCUGCUAAGUCGGACGUGAAAUCCCUCGGCUCAACCGGGGAACUGCGUCCGAUACUGGCGAGGCUUGAAUCGGGAGAGGGAUGUGGAAUUCCAGGUGUAGCGGUGAAAUGCGUAGAUAUCUGGAGGAACACCGGUGGCGAAGGCGGCAUCCUGGGA
rnacentral:rRNA from 1 species